AAAAAAGAUAAUAAAUUUAGAGCAUGUGGCUUCCCUUUUAUUCUUCUCUUGCUAGCUCUUACUGGUGAAGUUCAUGUAUUGGCUUCACAAUUUCCUCUAGUCGAUCUUUCCCAUUCGUCCUUGUCACAACCCAAGCCGAAUACUGGUCUAACAACUAUGGAUGGGUAGGCUUUGACUUAUGUGGCCCAAUGACCCUCGGUUGUUUCUUUUCCAUAUGUGGCCG
rnacentral:misc_RNA from 1 species